rnacentral:miRNA from 14 species
UAGGAUGACCAGCUGCCCUGGUUUGCCUGGGAUUGAGGGGUUUCCCAGGACUCAGGACUUUCAGUGCUAAAGUUUGGAAAGUC